AGUUAUAUUUGUUUUGUUAAUAACAUACAUGGAACUUUCUCAUUAGAUUUGUCCAUAGGACUUCAUGUACCUCAGAUCAAGUCAAAAUAGUGGGUUAAUUUAUCAGUUUUGUAUCUGUAGGUAUGCCCUGUGUCCUGUCUGUCUGUCUGUCUGUAUCUGUAGGUAUGCCCUGUGUCCUGUCUGUCUGUCUGUAUCUGUAGGUAUGCCCUGUGUCCUGUCUGUCUGUCUGUAUCUGUAGGUAUGCCCUGUGUCCUGUCUGUCUGUCUGUAUCUGUAGGUAUGCCCUGUGUCCUGUCUGUCUGUCUGUAUCUGUAGGUAUGCCCUGUGUCCUGUCUGUCUGUCUGUAUCUGUAGGUAUGCCCUGUGUCCUGUCUGUCUGUCUGUAUCUGUAGGUAUGCCCUGUGUCCUGUCUGUCUGUCUGUAUCUGUAGGUAUGCCCUGUGUCCUGUCUGUCUGUCUGUAUCUGUAGGUAUGCCCUGUGUCCUGUCUGUCUGUCUGUAUCUGUAGGUAUGCCCUGUGUCCUGUCUGUCUGUCUGUAUCUGUAGGUAUGCCCUGUGUCCUGUCUGUCUGUCUGUAUCUGUAGGUAUGCCCUGUGUCCUGUCUGUCUGUCUGUAUCUGUAGGUAUGCCCUGUGUCCUGUCUGUCUGUCUGUAUCUGUAGGUAUGCCCUGUGUCCUGUCUGUCUGUCUGUAUCUGUAGGUAUGCCCUGUGUCCUGUCUAUCUGUCUGUAUCUGUAGGUAUGCCCUGUGUCCUGUCUAUCUGUCUGUAUCUGUAGGUAUGCCCUGUGUCCUGUCUAUCUGUCUGUAUCUGUAGGUAUGCCCUGUGUCCUGUCUAUCUGUCUGUAUCUGUAGGUAUGCCCUGUGUCCUGUCUAUCUGUCUGUAUCUGUAGGUAUGCCCUGUGUCCUGUCUAUCUGUCUGUAUCUGUAGGUAUGCCCUGUGUCCUGUCUAUCUGUCUGUAUCUGUAGGUAUGCCCUGUGUCCUGUCUGUCUGUCUGUAUCUGUAGGUAUGCCCUGUGUCCUGUCUGUCUGUCUGUAUCUGUAGGUAUGCCCUGUGUCCUAUCUGUCUGUCUGUUGGCCCCAUAGCUUACUCUGACUACUCUCAUUUAGGACUUGUCAUUCAAUAUGAGCCUACUCUGCAAAAAACGGGUUUAAUGC